UACAGAGGGUGCGAGCGUUAAUCGGAUUUACUGGGCGUAAAGCGUACGUAGGCGGCUUUUUAAGUCGGAUGUGAAAUCCCUGAGCUUAACUUAGGAAUUGCAUUCGAUACUGGGAAGCUAGAGUAUGGGAGAGGAUGGUAGAAUUCCAGGUGUAGCGGUGAAAUGCGUAGAGAUCUGGAGGAAUACCGAUGGCGAAGGCAGCCAUCUGGCCUAAUACUGACGCUGAGGUACGAAAGCAUGGGGAGCAAACAGG
rnacentral:rRNA from 2 species